GGAAAGAUGACAGAGAGGUCGAUUGUGCCGCACUCGAAAUGCGGUGAGCGGGAAACUGCUCCGGGGGUUCGAAUCCCUCUCUUUCCG
rnacentral:tRNA from 1 species